AUACGAAGGGGGCUAGCGUUGCUCGGAAUGACUGGGCGUAAAGGGCGUGUAGGCGGUUUGUACAGUCAGAUGUGAAAUCCCCGGGCUUAACCUGGGAGCUGCAUUUGAUACGUGCAGACUAGAGUGUGAGAGAGGGUUGUGGAAUUCCCAGUGUAGAGGUGAAAUUCGUAGAUAUUGGGAAGAACACCGGUGGCGAAGGCGGCAACCUGGCUCAUUACUGACGCUGAGGCGCGAAAGCGUGGGGAGCAAACAGGAUUAGAUACCCUGGUAGUCCACGCUGUAAACGAUGUGUGCUAGAUGUUGGGUAACUUUGUUACUCAGUGUCGCAGUUAACGCGUUAAGCACACCGCCUGGGGAGUACGGCCGCAAGGUUGAA
rnacentral:rRNA from 1 species